rnacentral:rRNA from 1 species
UACGGAGGGUGCAAGCGUUGUUCGGAUUUAUUGGGCGUAAAGCGCGUGUAGGCGGUUUCUUAAGUCUGAUGUGAAAGCCCUGGGCUCAACCCAGGAAGUGCAUUGGAUACUGGGAGACUUGAAUACGGGAGAGGGUAGUGGAAUUCCUAGUGUAGGAGUGAAAUCCGUAGAUAUUAGGAGGAACACCGGUGGCGAAGGCGGCUACCUGGACCUCUUCUGACGCUGAGGCGCGAAAGCCAGGGGAGCAAACGGG